CCUACGGGAGGCAGCAGUGAGGAAUAUUGGUCAAUGGCCGUAAGGCUGAACCAGCCAAGUCGCGUGAAGGAAGAAGGAUCUAUGGUUUGUAAACUUCUUUUAUAGGGGAAUAAAGGUAUCCACGUGUGGAUAUUUGCAUGUACCCUAUGAAUAAGCAUCGGCUAACUCCGUGCCAGCAGCCGCGGUAAUACGGAGGAUGCGAGCGUUAUCCGGAUUUAUUGGGUUUAAAGGGUGCGUAGGUUGUUUUUUAAGUCAGCGGUGAAAGUUUGUGGCUCAACCAUAAAAUUGCCGUUGAAACUGGAAGACGUGAGUGUGUGUGAGGUAGGCGGAAUGCGUGGUGUAGCGGUGAAAUGCAUAGAUAUCACGCAGAACUCCGAUUGCGAAGGCAGCUUACUAAGCCAUAACUGACACUGAAGCACGAAAGCGUGGGGAUCAAACAGGAUUAGAUACCCCAGUAGUC
rnacentral:rRNA from 1 species